GCCAGUGCAGCUACAAAGCGUAUUCUUGCAUACACCCUUCAUGAUGAUCUGGCCACACUUUUUUCGUGGGUUGGCCGAAAGGGGAAACUUAGUUUCUCUAGUCUGAAGACUACAGCUGCAAUUAUUGUUGCUGCAAGACGGAUGACAGAAGGCAGCACUAACGAUAUUGAAGACACCAUCAAAUCGUGGCUAAGGCAUGCUCCAGAAAGGGCCGGCAGCCAUAAGAAGCCAAGCGCUGAGGUCUGCCUGCCUCAAGAAUAAGUGGAGGCCAUUCCAUUGUAAAGCACUGCAGCUAUGACCUGAAGACUGCACAGGCAUCAGAGGCUGCUUGGUUGUGGGCGUGUGCAUCUGGUGGAACUUAGGGGAUCUGCUGGGCUACGCCAAGGCAUGUUUCGUGGACUAGAGGCAGCUACUCAGGGAUUUUUUUUUUAACUUUGCACAGUGCAAUUGCAGAAUUUUUUUUCAUGCAUUGGAAGGAUUCUGCCUGUCAUCUGCAUUGUCAAAUCACUUGCAAAGUCAUGCUCUUGCUAGGCUCCAUCAAUAUGGUUUUGUGCAGAAUUUGUGUGCGAGAACUUUUUAUUGUUUUUGUUUUUUAAUGUCAUGGCAGUCUUCUGUAUUGGUGAAAUUGCUACCAUUGCAAAGCCAUGGUUUUCUGAAAUGCUGUUAUUCUGCUACUGUACAAAACUUGUGUGCGAAAUACUUACAUUAGACGCAAGAUCUUUUUUACCUCAAUAUUUCAGAGUAUUUCUGUUUGUUCUGUAUGUGCAUCUACAUGUCCACCCAUUGUUAGCAUAAACACACCAGUGCAUGGUUCGUGCACAAUGCAGUGCACAAGCGGCAAAAACCACAUGCAUGUGUGAAACGCUAAGGCAGUGUAUUCCGUGGGAUCGUUGCCCAGAUUUCUCUGCACAGAAGCGGUUGGCUUGCCAGGAAUAAAUUUGACUGUUUUGCAGUCUUGCUCAUCUGCCUGAGACCUAGCUCGCAAGGAGGAUCCUGAAUCCUUUGCUUGUAUCUGUAGGCCACCGUCGUAAGUGGCACAUUCACUGUUGCAUAAAUGCCACGCUUACUGUAGCCCUGCUGUGAAGUGUCCACAAUCUGUCAUCUUUGCAUGGCUGUGAGAAUCCCAGCCAUUUCCUGUUUCUGAGCGCAAGGAAUGAAAAGACUGCGACGCAUGCCUUAGUGGCAAUUCAGAGGAACCCUCAAAAGACCAAAUAAAUAUGUUAGCUUUUUUAUCCUGCAAUUGCAGCUUGGACUGACCCCGACAUAUACGGGCAUCACUGAAGCAUGCUGUGCAUAAGUAUAGCAAACAAGCUGCUCCUGUUGCAUUAUGCUAGUGUCGUGUUCUGCCGUGCUCUAUCUGUGAAAUGAACACAUACUGGCCUAUUGUGUGAUAACGUCACUGUGGUGUACUAUUGUGGAAACACAUGCUGGUGUGUUCAUGCUACCAGUGGGCUAAACCUUGGACCUUACUGGAAAUAGUAAAGGCCAGCCACUCAUUGCAAAAAAUGCUGGACAGGCCUUUCCCUCUUGCCUUUUUGUGUGCUUGAUGGUCUGAGAAUCGCCUCCAUUGCAAAGACAUGCUUUUGUAAGAUGCUAUUAUUUUUCCUUUGUCCAAAGCACUUUUUGUCACUGGAUCUUGAGGGUUUUUCUAACCUCUGCCUUUAUUAUGCAUGUUGCUGCCUCUGCAAAGCUACCCCUUCGUGAGACCAAUAUUGUGCCUGUGUAAAAUAACUUGUGAGAGCUUUUUACUUUAUAUAUUUUUUAUGUCAUGGAAGAUUCCUUUUAUAUUGCUGCUGCUGUAAAGCCAUACUUGUGGGACUAUUGUUGCGCAUAUGUAUAGACUUUUGUGCAAGAUACUUUUAGCAAGACCAACUUUUUUUUAAUGUUUUGGUCAUCUGUGUCCUACACUAUGAGCAUCUUGCUUAUAAAAGCAAGGAUGCACUUUAUUGAAGUGCUCUUAGUGUGUUUUAGUACAGAACUUUUGUGCAAGAUACUUUUAUGAUAUAUUUUGUAUUAUGGGAGGAUUCUAGUCACUUUCGUGCAUAUGUAAGUUGCUUCCAGUGAAGUGUCAUUGUUCUUUGUACAAAAGAACUUUUCUGUGAAGUCUGAUGGGUACGUCUACAGUUUUACAAGGUAGAAGUGCUACCACAGUCUAUAUGCAAGUUUAACAUCUAGUCAUUGAGCCAAUGAAACAGCCAGUUUGUUUUUGCAUCAUGUGCAUUGCUGUUGUUGCAAAGAUGCCAUUAUGUGCCUUUUUGCAAGAAAAUGUGUGCAUAGUCAUUGUGCCAGAUAUUUCUUGUUCUCUUGUACUGUUUGUUUAGUUAUAUUUGUGAUAUCACAGUUCAGGUACCAAUGCAGUCAGUUUAUUCUAGUCUUUUUCCUUUAUAAAGUGUAUGUACAUCACUGCAUUAAGUUGACAAUUAGAAUUUUUCUGUGUUAAGGUCACUUCAAGAAGCAUCUUUAGUUCUCUUCUGUGCCCCUGUACUGAUCUUGUCAAUGUCAACAUAUACUCCUGCUGGCAUCUUUUGUGAUUUUCAAUUUCUUGUGGGUCCUUAUGGGCAUUUCUUUAAUGUGUUCAGGCACAGGUUAUGUUUUGCUGUGCCAAGCACACAGGCAUGUUCUUACAGUAUGCUUUUUAAAUAAAGAUCCAAUGUUUCUGCA